CUUUCUCUUAUCAUCCAGGCUGGACUGUGGUGGCACAAUUAUGGCUCAUUGCAGCCUUGAUCUCCAAGGCUCACACCAUCCUCCAACCUCAGCCUCCCAAGUAGCUGGGACUAUGGGUGUGCACUAUCCUCAGGAGACUCUGCAUUCAAAAGACCACUCCCGGGCACUGCCUUCUACCAACUUCCCCAUCCAACUCUGAUUGCAUCGGACCACUGUCUUCCCUCCAUGCCUCCAGCCCUGAGGUUGUCAACGGGGUGCUCCAGCCUCCAUGUGCACCCUGUGACUUCCUUCAUCCUAGUCCUGCUGACCCUCGUGGCUUCUCCUGCUCCAAGGCCAAGCUCGGGACCCUGUCAUCAUCCCCGGGGACAGGCCCCAUCUUAGAGAGAAUCCACCCAGCUCCCCACUCCUGAGCCAUCUUCCAGCUAUCCCGCCUCGAGACUCCCACCGCACCUGCUCCUGGGCUGCAGCUGCACCCAACAAGUCAACAUGUGGAUUGCUUCUAGAAUUUGGAUAUUAUGAACACUGCUGUGCUGAACAUUCUUGUACACUUAUAUGGUUUGGCUGUGUCCCCACCCAAAUCUCAUCUUGAAUUGUAGCUCCCAUAAUUCCUAUGUGUCGUGGGAGGGACCCAAUGGGAGGUAAUUGAAUCAUAGGGGCAGGUCUUUCCCCUGCUAUCCUUGUGAUAGUGAAUAAGUCUCAUGAGAUCUGAUGGUUUUAUACAUGGGAGUUCCCCUGCACAAUACAUGGGAGUUCCCCUGCACAAGCCCUCUUGUCUGCCACCAUGUAAGAUGUGCCUUUGCUUCUCCUCUGCCUUCCACCAUAAUUGUGAGGACUCCCCA
rnacentral:lncRNA from 1 species